rnacentral:rRNA from 1 species
GACGAACGCUGGCGGCGUGCCUAACACAUGCAAGUCGAGCGAGUGAAUCUCCUUCGGGAGUGAAGCUAGCGGCGGACGGGUGAGUAACACGUGGGCAACCUGCCUCAUAGAGGGGAAUAGCCUUUCGAAAGGAAGAUUAAUACCGCAUAAGAUUGUAGCUUCGCAUGAAGUAGCAAUUAAAGGAGCAAUCCGCUAUGAGAUGGGCCCGCGGCGCAUUAGCUAGUUGGUGAGGUAACGGCUCACCAAGGCGACGAUGCGUAGCCGACCUGAGAGGGUGAUCGGCCACAUUGGGACUGAGACACGGCCCAGACUCCUACGGGAGGCAGCAGUGGGGAAUAUUGCACAAUGGGGGAAACCCUGAUGCAGCAACGCCGCGUGAGUGAUGACGGCCUUCGGGUUGUAAAGCUCUGUCUUCAGGGACGAUAAUGACGGUACCUGAGGAGGAAGCCACGGCUAACUACGUGCCAGCCGCCGCAGUAAGAC